rnacentral:rRNA from 1 species
GACGAAGGGGGCUAGCGUUGUUCGGAAUUACUGGGCGUAAAGCGCGCGUAGGCGGGUUGGUAAGUCCGCUGUGAAAGCCCGGAGCUCAACUCCGGAGGGUCGGUGGAUACUGCCAGUCUUGAAGGUGCUAGGGGGAGAUGGAAUUACCGGUGUAGCGGUGAAAUGCGUAGAGAUCGGUAGGAACACCAGUGGCGAAGGCGGUCUCCUGGGGCAUACUUGACGCUGAGGCGCGAAAGCUGGGGGAGCGAACGGG